rnacentral:rRNA from 1 species
GACGAACGCUGGCGGCGUGCUUAACACAUGCAAGUCGAACGGUGACCUCGGAGCUUGCUCCGGGCGAUCAGUGGCGAACGGGUGAGUAACACGUGAGUAACCUGCCCCAGACUCUGGGAUAACCCCGGGAAACCGGAGCUAAUACCGGAUACGACACGAAGAGGCAUCUCUAUCGUGUGAAAGUUUUUCGGUCUGGGAUGGACUCGCGGCCUAUCAGCUAGUUGGUGAGGUAACGGCUCACCAAGGCGACGACGGGUAGCCGGCCUGAGAGGGCGACCGGCCACACUGGGACUGAGACACGGCCCAGACUCCUACGGGAGGCAGCAGUGGGGAAUAUUGCACAAUGGGCGAAAGCCUGAUGCAGCGACGCCGCGUGGGGGAUGACGGCCUUCGGGUUGUAAACCCCUUUCAGCAGGGAAGAAGCGAAAGUGCGGU